UAUAUUUUAAUGUAAAAAAGCAUAAAAAUUUUUGAGAUUUUAAGUGAUAAAAAUAUUAUCAAAUAUAA
rnacentral:tRNA from 3 species